rnacentral:rRNA from 1 species
GAUGAACGCUGGCGGCGUGCCUAAUACAUGCAAGUCGAGCGAACGGACGAGAAGCUUGCUUCUCUGAUGUUAGCGGCGGACGGGUGAGUAACACGUGGAUAACCUACCUAUAAGACUGGGAUAACUUCGGGAAACCGGAGCUAAUACCGGAUAAUAUUUUGAACCGCAUGGUUCAAAAGUGAAAGACGGUCUUGCUGUCACUUAUAGAUGGAUCCGCGCUGCAUUAGCUAGUUGAUAAGGUAACGGCUUACCAAGGCAACGAUGCAUAGCCGACCUGAGAGGGUGAUCGGCCACACUGGAACUGAGACACGGUCCAGACUCCUACGGGAGGCAGCAGUAGGGAAUCUUCCGCAAUGGGCGAAAGCCUGACGGAGCAACGCCGCGUGAGUGAUGAAGGUCUUCGGAUCGUAAAACUCUGUUAUUAGGGAAGAACAUAUGUGUAGGUAACUGUGCACAUCUUGACGGUACCUAAUCAGAAAGCCACGGCUAACUACGUG